AGGGGAAUUUUGGACAAUGGGCGCAAGCCUGAUCCAGCCAUGCCGCGUGAGUGAAGAAGGCCUUCGGGUUGUAAAGCUCUUUCGGACGGGAAGUAAUGGCGGGCUUUAACAUAGCCUGUCGAUGACGGUACCGUAAGAAGAAGCACCGGCUAACUACGUGCCAGCAGCCGCGGUAAUACGUAGGGUGCGAGCGUUAAUCGGAAUUACUGGGCGUAAAGCGUGCGCAGGCGGUUUUGUAAGACAGAUGUGACAUCCCCGGGCUUAACCUGGGAACUGCCUUUGUGACUGAAAGGCCGGAGUACGGCAGAUGGGGGUGGAAUUCCACGUGUAGCAGUGAAAUGCGUAGAGAUGUGGAGGAACACCGAUGGCGAAGGCAGCCCCCUGGGCCUGUACUGAAGCUCAUGCACGAAAGCGUGGGGAGCAAACA
rnacentral:rRNA from 1 species